GUCAACUCACUUAAUAAAUCUUCUAUCUAUCAUCUAUCUAUCUAUUCAUCUAUUGUUUCUGUCUGUCUCUGGGGAACUCUGAUUAAUACAGAACUGAUAAAUAAGAAUCUAGAAAGUGUGGAGUUCUGAUUGAAAAUAAUCCUGAGGCCAAAGGAAUAAUAAGUGUGGGGCCAGAGGCACUUUCUAUGGAGUAUUGACUAAGAGAACAAGAAUGAAAUUGAAAGACGGGGAAGCUAUCAGUGAAAAUACACUGUUCCUGGGCCCGAAACUAACUGGAUAUAUGGAUGCAAGCAAAAUCUUUGGC
rnacentral:lncRNA from 10 species